rnacentral:tRNA from 1 species
GGUGACUCAGUGGUAGAGUGCUCGCCUAGCAUGUGUGAGGCACUGGGUUCAAUCCUCAGCACCA